GAUGAACGCUGGCGGCGUGCCUAAUACAUGCAAGUCGAGCGAACAGAUGAGGAGCUUGCUCCUCUGACGUUAGCGGCGGACGGGUGAGUAACACGUGGAUAACCUACCUAUAAGACUGGGAUAACUUCGGGAAACCGGAGCUAAUACCGGAUAAUAUAUUGAACCGCAUGGUUCAAUAGUGAAAGACGGUUUUGCUGUCACUUAUAGAUGGAUCCGCGCCGCAUUAGCUAGUUGGUAAGGUAACGGCUUACCAAGGCAACGAUGCGUAGCCGACCUGAGAGGGUGGUCGGCCACACUGGAACUGAGACACGGUCCAGACUCCUACGGGAGGCAGCAGGAGGGAAUCUGCCGGAAUGGGCGAAAGCCUGACGGAGCAACGCCGCGUGAGUGAUGAAGGUCGUCGGAUCGUAAAACUCUGUUAUUAGGGAAGAACAAAUGUGUAAGUAACAAUGCACGUCUUGACGGUACCUAAUCAGAAAGCCACGGCUAACUACGUG
rnacentral:rRNA from 1 species